UUUACAUUUGAAGAAAAAAGAUAAUAGACGAUGAAUAGUAUAUAAAAUAAUAGUUUAUAGAUUUAGUGGACUAUAGAGAAAGAAUAUAAGAGAUAUGCUGCGAGAGAUAAAAAAUAAGAAAUAAAAUGUUGGUAAUGUGAUAUAGGGAACUAUGGUGGAUGUUCUCAGGGAGAGAGAUGGGGCACGCGACUAGUACGCGAUAAAUAAUAUCAAACUCCACGCCACGCGGACCCUCUCCAGCGGCGUGACGACUGACGAGUCUGGGAGACCUGCCCGCUACGGCGCGCCCCCCGGGCCAAUCGCCUCCUCGCACCUCGCUCGCUUCUUCCCCUUCUCCCUCCUCUGUCCUUUCACACGUACUCCAGCUUGCUCUUUUCCUCCUCCCUUCGGCCCUCGCCCAUCCGCCUCUCUCCCCACGCGCGCGCGCAUCGCCCUCCCACAGUCCCCCCCCCCCCCCCCCCCCCCCCCCCCCCCCCCUCCUCAUCACCCACCCCUAGCAAUACCACACUCCUACUGCAAGACCCGCCCGCCCACCGCUUCCUCGCAUCUCGGGCGCGUGCCUGCCUGCUCUCGCGGACGUGGUGGUGGUUCUCCGGCGCCGUGGUGGGCGGGGGACGAGCGGGUGGGGGACCGGCGGGUAUUUUUGGUUGCUGUGGUUUCGUGAUGGCGGCGGCGGCGAUCUGCGUGGAGGACGAGGCGGCGUGCGCCGCCGCGGAAUGCGCGGGGAUCGGGAAUCUGGAUCUCGCUGCCGCCGGCGCCGGGGCUGGCGGCAAGAGGAGCGUCUAUCUCAUGGACUGCGCGCCGGUCUGGGGCUGCGCGUCCACGCGCGGCCGCAGCACCGAGAUGGAGGACGCCUGCGCCGCGGCCCCGCGCUUCGCGGACGUGCCGGUGCGCCUGCUCGCCAGCCGCCGGGACCUCGACCGUCUGGGCCUCGACGCUGACACGCUCCGCCUGCCGGCGCACCUGUUCGGCGUCUUCGACGGCCACGGCGGCGCCGAGGUGGCCAGCUACUGCCGGGAGAGGCUCCAGGUGCUCCUGAGGCAGGAACUGAGGCUGCUCAGCAAGGAUUUGGGGGAGACAAGCGAGGCCGACAUGAAGGAGCACUGGGACGAGCUGUUCACCAGGUGUUUCCAGAGGCUGGAUGACGAAGUGUCGGGGCAGGCGAGCAGGCUCGUCGGUGGCGUCCAGGAGACACGGCCGGUGGCCGCCGAGAACGUCGGCUCCACUGCGGUUGUCGCCGUCGUGUGCUCCUCCCAUGUGGUGGUCGCCAACUGCGGGGAUUCGCGUGUUGUUCUCUGCCGUGGAAAGGAGCCCUUAGAGCUGUCGAUUGAUCAUAAGCCUGACAGGAAGGAUGAACGAGCGAGGAUUGAGGCCCUGGGGGGAAAGGUCAUCCAAUGGAAUGGCUACCGGGUCUCCGGUAUACUUGCUAUGUCAAGAUCGAUUGGCUUCGGCAAAAAGAGGAAGCGGCCUUUUAUGCUUCGUUGUGUACGAAAAGAAGGGAAGGUGUUUUUUCGCCUUCGGCUCAAAAAACUGAUUUCGUCCACAUCAAAGCACCUCAAUCGAAGGGUAAGAAUAUAUUACAAGGUAUGUACAAAGUUCCUUGAAGAACAGUUUAAUUCUAUUUACAAGAGUUGUUACAAAAUUAUCCUGAGUUUUUCUAAAGCACACUUCUGCUAGUCUUCAUUAAGCUUCAGCUUCGACGACAACUUCGGCGACAUAUCCUAGGCAUCAUCUUCACCUUCGUCAUCCUACAUGAGUCAAGGAAUCAUAAGAAUCAAGCCCAAAGGAAAAGGGGACCGGUAUCUGAAGCCGUUCGUGAUUCCAAAACCAGAGGUCACGGUCGUUCCCAGGGCGAAAGAUGACGACUGUCUCAUCCUCGCAAGCGAUGGGCUGUGGGAUGUGGUGACGAACGAAGAGGCAUGCAAAGCUGCGCGCCGGCAAAUCCAAGUGUGGCACAAGAACAACGGUGCCGCUGGCGCAUCGUGGUCGUUGUGCGACGAGGGUGAUGGAUCCACCACCGACCCCGCUGCCCAAGCCGCAGCGGAUUAUCUCGUGAGGGUCGCGCUGAAGAAGGGUACCGAGGACAACGUCACCGUCAUCGUGGUUGACCUGAAACCUCGAAAGAAAAGCUCAGGAGCAACUCGUAGCAUCGGGCGUUCUGGGUCCAUCACAGUAGAGCUGAGCUGACCAUGGCAUGGCCAAAGAACUGCUGCUAGGUGCUAGCUGGUCGUCCGCACGAGACUUGACCGGCCCACAGUUUUUUUUUUGGGUCCGUUGGGCGUCAAGAAUUGUACAUGUAUAUAUGGUAGAUGCGUUUUCCGUGGAGGGUUAUGGCGCUCAACCCCGCUCUUGUUUCUGUUGGCUAAAAAUCUCUCCAAUCGGCAUCUCUACCGUGAGCCCCCCCUGGCACUUAGUAUGCCCCUAAUGCUGUAUGAUAGUCGAGCUUGUAAAGAGCCAAGCGGCUGAGACGAUCACUAAAAUUAACGCGCUGUAACCUUCAUGAUUCAA